UACGUAGGGUGCGAGCGUUGUUCGGAAUUACUGGGCGUAAAGGGCGCGUAGGCGGUUGGAUAAGUCAGCUGUGAAAACCACGGGCUUAACUCGUGGCCUGCAGUUGAGACUGUCUGGCUUGAGUGUGGGAGAGGAGAGUGGAAUUCCUGGUGUAGCGGUGAAAUGCGUAGAUAUCAGGAGGAACACCGGUGGCGAAGGCGGCUCUCUGGACCACAACUGACGCUGAGGCGCGAAAGCUAGGGGAGCAAACAGG
rnacentral:rRNA from 1 species